rnacentral:rRNA from 1 species
ACGCUGGCGGCGUGCCUAAUACAUGCAAGUAGAACGCACAGGAUGCACCGUAGUUUACUACACCGUAUUCUGUGAGUUGCGAACGGGUGAGUAACGCGUAGGUAACCUGCCUGGUAGCGGGGGAUAACUAUUGGAAACGAUAGCUAAUACCGUAUAAGAACAUUUACUGCAUGGUAGAUGUUUAAAAGGUGCAAGAGCAUCACUACCAGAUGGACCUGCGUUGUAUUAGCUAGUUGGUGAGGUAACGGCUCACCAAGGCAACGAUACAUAGCCGACCUGAGAGGGUGAUCGGCCACACUGGGACUGAGACACGGCCCAGACUCCUACGGGAGGCAGCAGUAGGGAAUCUUCGGCAAUGGGGGGAACCCUGACCGAGCAACGCCGCGUGAGUGAAGAAGGUUUUCGGAUCGUAAAGCUCUGUUGUUAAGGAAGAACGUGUGUGAGAGUGGAAAGUUCACACAGUGACGGUACUUAACCAGAAAGGGACGGCUAACUACGUGCCAGCAGCCGCGGUAAUACGUAGGUCCCGAGCGUUGUCCGGAUUUAUUGGGCGUAAAGCGAGCGCAGGCGGUUAGAUAAGUCUGAAGUGAAAGGCAGUGGCUCAAUCAUUGUAGGCUUUGGAAACUGUUUAACUUGAGUGCAGAAGGGGAGAGUGGAAUUCCAUGUGUAGCGGUGAAAUGCGUAGAUAUAUGGAGGAACACCGGUGGCGAAAGCGGCUCUCUGGUCUGUAACUGACGCUGAGGCUCGAAAGCGUGGGGAGCGAACAGGAUUAGAUACCCUGGUAGUCCACGCCGUAAACGAUGAGUGCUAGGUGUUAGGUCCUUUCCGGGACUUAGUGCCGCAGCUAACGCAUUAAGCACUCCGCCUGGGGAGUACGACCGCAAGGUUGAAACUCAAAGGAAUUGACGGG